GUUCUGAGCACCCAACAAGGCCUAAGGCAUAUUUCCUGGCUUGCCACAAGCCAGGAGUGCAGUGGUGCUAAUGGAUACACAGAGUUACUUACGUCUUCCGGGCCACAAGAGUGGCUACUUGGAAGUACUUUGGGUCCACUUUGCUCAGCCGCCUCUCCCUAAAGAAUCCACAUAGUCAAAAGAGGGCUAUUGCUCCAGCUGGACGAUGGCAUUGGGCUGAGCCAGGAACGGAUAACGGAAAUAACAGACUUUCGGUAGGAUCACGGGCCAGACGGGGGAUCUGGUCGUGAACUCAUGCCCACUCCACCAAAGCCCAGCGUCUGACUGCAUGAGCUUUGAGUCACUGUGGAUGUAUUUUAACUAACAGAUUAGUUCUUCUAAAUUGGCAGGCAAUUUACAGCAAUAUAAACAAGAGAGAGCUAUGAGAGAGCGAGAGAGCAGCCAUUAGAUUGCAGAUCUCAUUAGCCCUCUGUGCGUUCCUUCCGCCAGGCAUGCAUUAGGGCAAAGGUCUAAGACCAUCUCAAAGACUAAAAGAAAAUUCCACUGCUCCUUGAUCCUCACCUCCUCUGGAAAGAUCGGCAUAAAGUGGAGGCCAGGAGCCAGGGGUUUGAGCCCAAGUCCAGUGAUGAGCAACACUUUCUGGCACCUUUGCCUGGGAAUAUGAAGCAGCAAAGUCAAGAUCAAAGAAUGGGCCAGCACUGAGACAAACUAAAGGCAGCUUAGUAACUGGCUGGGACAGCUGCAAAACUGAAAGGGGUUCUCAGAGUGUUUAGUUCCAUG
rnacentral:lncRNA from 1 species